rnacentral:rRNA from 1 species
CAACUAAAAANUAGAGAGUCUAGCCUGCUCAAUGAUAUUAAUUAAAUAGCCGCAGUAACCUGACUGCGUGAAAGUAGCAUAAUCACUUGCCUUUUAAUUGGUGGCUGGUAUGAAUGGCAUGAUGAAAGCAAUACUGUCUCCUCUAUACUCUAUUGAAACUACCUAAUAGGUGAAAAGGCCUAUAUAAUUUUAUAAGACAAGAAGACCCUGUCGAGCUUUAUAGUCAAAGCACCACUUUCCCGUUCUUAUACUAUUUGGUUGGGGCAACCAGGGAGCAAAAAAAAUCUCCCUAUACUUUUAAUCUAUAAGAUACGACCCGUAAUAACGAUCUUUAAAGAAAAGCUACCGCAGGGAUAACAGCGUAAUUUUUUUCCUGAGUCCUUAUUAAAAAAAAAGUUUGCGACCUCGAUGUUGGAUUAGGGUAUCCUGAGGGUGCAGAAGCUCUCAAGGGUUGGUUUGUUCUA